UAAGGGAGCUUUGAGAACCUAGGCCCCAAUACAUACAUGCAGAGGAAGAUUAAAUUAUCAUAUAUAAAGCUCAGGUGUAGUUUUAGAAGUGGAAGAGAGUAGCUUUGGGCCUUAUCACCAGAUUGGAAACAGAGGAAUUGUAGCUGUUGGAGAGAAUUGCAAGUCCCUGACAGAUCUUAGCCUCCGAUUUUGUGAUAGGGUCGGGGACGAGGCACUUGUUGCCAUUGGUAAGUGUAACUCCCUACAGUAUCUAAACGUUAGUGGUUGUCAUCAAAUUGGUGAUGCUGGAAUAAUGGCCAUUGCAAGAGGUUGUCCUCAACUUACCUACCUAGACAUGAG